AAUGCAUGAAGUGAUUCCAAGUUGAAAAUCUGUGUCCUGCCAGCAUAAUCGUAAGUUGUCAAAAUAUGUGUGAGGUUGUGUCUUUCAACAAUAAAAGUUGAAAAAAUCAACAGCAAGUCCCUGUAAAAAUAGUCAAGGGUAGAGAGAAGUUCA